rnacentral:tRNA from 1 species
GUUAUCGUAGCUUAUCACAAGCAUAGCACUGAAAAUGCUAAGAUGGUCCCACGCCCGCAUAGCA